rnacentral:rRNA from 1 species
CCUACGGGUGGCAGCAGUCGAGAAUCAUUCACAAUGGGGGAAACCCUGAUGGUGCGACGCCGCGUGGGGGAAUGAAGGUCUUCGGAUUGUAAACCCCUGUCAUGUGGGAGCAAAUUAAAAAGAUAGUACCACAAGAGGAAGAGACGGCUAACUCUGUGCCAGCAGCCGCGGUAAUACAGAGGUCUCAAGCGUUGUUCGGAAUCACUGGGCGUAAGGCGUGCGUAGGCGGUUUCGUAAGUCGUGUGUGAAAGGCGCGGGCUCAACCCGCGGACGGCACAUGAUACUGCGAGACUAGAGUAAUGGAGGGGGAACCGGAAUUCUCGGUGUAGCAGUGAAAUGCGUAGAGAUCGAGAGGAACACUCGUGGCGAAGGCGGGUUCCUGGACAUUAACUGACGCUGAGGCACGAAGGCCAGGGGAGCGAAAGGGAUUAGAUACCCCUGUAGUC